GACGAACGCUGGCGGCGUGCUUAACACAUGCAAGUCGAACGAAGAGCGAUGGAAGCUUGCUUCUAUCAAUCUUAGUGGCGAACGGGUGAGUAACGCGUAAUCAACCUGCCCUUCAGAGGGGGACAACAGUUGGAAACGACUGCUAAUGCCGCAUACGAUCUGACCUCGGCAUCGAGGAUAGAUGAAAGGUGGCCUCUAUUUAUAAGCUAUCACUGAAGGAGGGGAUUGCGUCUGAUUAGCUAGUUGGAGGGGUAACGGCCCACCAAGGCGAUGAUCAGUAGCCGGUCUGAGAGGAUGAACGGCCACAUUGGGACUGAGACACGGCCCAGACUCCUACGGGAGGCAGCAGUGGGGAAUCUUCCGCAAUGGACGAAAGUCUGACGGAGCAACGCCGCGUGAGUGAUGACGGCCUUCGGGUUGUAAAGCUCGGUUAAUCGGGACGAAAGGCCUUCUUGCGAAUAGUUAGAAGGAUUGACGGUACCGGAAUAGAAAGCCACGGCUAACUACGUG
rnacentral:rRNA from 1 species